rnacentral:rRNA from 1 species
GCAUAUUAGUAAGCGGAGGAAAAGAAACUAACAAGGAUUUCCUUAGUAGCGGCGAGCGAACAGGAAUGAGCCCAGCACUGAAUCCCGCGGUCGAUUCGAACGCGGGAGAUGUGGUGUUCGGGAGGUUCCGUCUUUCUCGUCGUCGAUACUCCUGUCCAAGUUCGUCUUGAACGGGGCCGUUUUCCCGAAGAGGGUGCCAGGCCCGUAGCGACGGAGGGCGGCGGCGAGAGGGACACUCCUAAGAGUCGGGUUGCUUGAGAGUGCAGCCCUAAGUGGGUGGUAAACUCCAUCUAAGGCUAAAUAUUACCGCGAGACCGAUAGCGAACAAGUACCGUGAGGGAAGUUGAAAAGACUAGACCAAGUCUCUGCUACCGUAAUCACGUGUA